rnacentral:lncRNA from 10 species
CGUUUGUCAUGAAUGUGCCUUGUUUAUGAAGCUGAGCUGAGAGGGGCUGUGCACUUGGCCAGAGACUCUUCUUCCAGUGAUUAAUAGAAUCUUUCAUACCUGGGAAAACCUGAGGUGUAUUAAAGGAGUUCUUGUUCUUAAAGAGUGAUCAUAUCGUACAGAGAUAUUUUAACACAUAAUUAUGUUCACACAGGUACUUAAACAUCAAAAGCAAUCAGGAAAUCUCUGCUGAAAUGCAAAGGAAAUGACAUAAAGUUGCAAAUAACACCAUAUGCAAUAAAAUGUUGUAUAUUUUAUUCUGAGUCACCUAGACCAUGCGAAGAUUUAAAAUGGAUUAAAGACAGACAUUGUGUCAAACCUGGUAAAGAUUUCGUGACAGAUGACCUUGAGCUUUACAACAUUCACCUAGAAUCGUCAUUUAUAUAACGUGGGCAAAGACAGAUCUCCUUAAAUUCAUUCUAAAUCUUUUGCAACAUCUUUGAAAAUCUACUUCUAAUAAAAACUCAGUUUAAAACUAUGCCAUUUUAUGCUAAAUUAAUUGUGAUUUUUUUUUUUUUUUUUUUUUUUUUUUUGAGACAGUGUCUUGCUUUGUCGCCCAGGCUGGAGUGCAGUGGCGCGAUCUCGGUUCACUGCAAGCUGUGCUCCCCGGGUUCACGCCAUUCUCCUGCCUCAGCUUCCCGAGUAGCUGGGACUACAGGUGCCUGCCACCACACCUGGCGAAUUUUUUGUAUUUUUGGUAGAGAUGGGGUGUCACUGUGUUAGCCAGGAUGGUCUCAGUCUCCUGACCUUGUGAUCCACCCUCCUUGGCCUCCCAAAGUGCUGGGAUUACAGGCCUGAGCCACCGUGCCCAGCCUAAUUUUGAUAUUUCUUAAAACAAAGUUUUUAAGAUACUAGAGUGCCCCAUUGAUAGUAUUUAUUUUUAUUUUUUAUUUUUUUUGAGAAACAGUUUUGGUCUGUCGCCCAGGCUGGAGUGCAGUGACAUGAUCUCGGUUCACUGCGACCCCUGCCUCCUGGGUUCAAGCGAUUCUCUGGCAUCAGCCUCCUGAGUAGUUGGGAUUGCAGGUACCCACCACCAUGCCGGGCUAAUUUUUGUAUUUUUAGUAGAGACAGGGUUUCACCAUGUUGGCCAGGCUGGUCUCGAACUCCUGACCUCAGGUGAUCUACCCACCCUGGCCUCUGAAAGUGCUGGGAUUAUAGGUGUGAGCCACCGCUUCCAGCCCAGUAUUUUUAAAAUAUGAAGAAAAAUGUCAAGUUCUAUCUUUAUGUGUUUUACAAAAGAGCAAAACAAAAAUAAAAAUUCUGAGUGUCUUUUCAUGGUGACUUAGAAGAAUUCUGUGAAUGUCUGGCCUGUGCAUAUUUUUGUCCAACUAAAAUUAUAAUCAUUUAAAACAUACAGAUCAUUAUUUUCUUGAAAAAGGGUACACACGUGGAGGAAAAGUGCCUUCUGUAUAACUUGAUAGGGUGUUUUGUAAUCUUCUAAAUUUUCAAGGCUGUACAUUUAUGUCACGUUUCCAUUAGGUGGCACUGUGCUAAUAGUGAUAGAGCAAGUUCUCUCAGAGCUCAUAUAAGCUUUUUUUUUUUUUUUCUCAAGUCUCACUUUAUUUCAUUAGUUUCUAAAAUGCUGUUACUUAAGAUAUUUGGGUGGUUUUAUGGCUCGGGGUGCCAGAGAAGCAGAUGCUGUUUUCGCCGUUAGUCUUAGGAUCCGGAAUCAGCAGCCCCGGACACCUGAGACAGGGGGUGCGGGCCGUGUCCCCUCCACAGGUGGAGACAGUCAGGUUCGGCUUGAAAGAGGAAUUCCCCGAGGGAGUGAGCCAAGAAGGACGAUUGGCUGUCUUGUCACAGAGGCAGCAGGGCUUCAGGAAGGUCCUGAGGGAGAAUGAAGGGUUCUGUGGUCUCUAACACAGCCCCUGGCUGAGAUCGCCGUCCUCUCAUUCCACCCUGGUCUGCUGGUUGGGACCACGGGCAGCGAGUCCACGGCAGGACUCCCGAGCAGUGGCUGUCGCCGGUCACCCCGGACGGCUCAGGGCAACACGGACCGUGGCGCCCCAGGAAAGGCGCCCACAGCCACAGCCAGCCUGGAUGGGGCCCCUGGAGCGUGGGGUCUCGAACACCACCCGUCAGGGCUGAAGCCCACUUCCCUCAAAGGUGACAAGUGUGGCCGAGAGUCACAGAGCCUCAGGCCGAAGAGAUGGUGCUGUCACUGGGGACGCACCGUACAAACACACAUGGUAAUCCACUGCGUUGAGCGCCUGUCUCAAAGGCGUGAUAGAGUUUCCGCUUCGGCCUGCGGUGCUGUGGGAUUAACCUGAUUAAUAUCGUCCAUUGCAUGUGAUUUUCGAUGCAGGAGAAAAUGUUAUUUUGCCUAAAGAUGUAAAUAUAUAAAAAUAGCCAAAUCAGAGACAGGGACUUGAAUUCUGGGUCAUUUUAAAUACUAGUUAAAAGCUUUAAAUGGCUAAACGUAUUUUUAAUACUGGGUCUCAUUUAUGUAUUUAUUUAUUGCAUAUGGAAUGAUCUUGCUUAGAUAUCUAUUUGGCACUUAUUUAAAUAAUCUAUUUGUUCGUUAAAUAUAUGUUCCAUAAUAGGAAGCUUAUUAAAAGAGUUUACUAUAGUCAUUAGGUCUGCAAAAGACAUAAAAAUAAUAGUUUGUCUAUAGUAGAUAAAAUACUAAGAAUAAUUUCACCUUUCUCCUACAAAAUAAUCCAUCUAAAACCCAAGUAUAGGCCGGGCUCAGUGGCUCAUGCCUGUAAUCCC